rnacentral:misc_RNA from 1 species
GAUGAAGAACGUAGCGAAAUGCGAUAAGUAAUGUGAAUUGCAGAAUUCAGUGAAUCAUCGAAUCUUUGAACGCACAUUGCGCCCACUAGUAUUCUGGUGGGCAUGCCUGUUCGAGCGUCAUUUCAACCCUCAAGCCUGGCUUGGUGUUGGGGCCCUGCACCUGCAGGCCCUUAAAUUCAGUGGCGGACACGCUAGGUCUCCGAGCGCAGUAGUUUCUCCUCGCUCAGGGCGUCCGGCGUGCGCUUGCCUCGCACCCAUCUUUUUACAAGGUUGACCUCGGAUCAGGUAGGAAUACCCGCUGAACUUAAGCAUAUCAAUAAGCGGAGGA